rnacentral:rRNA from 1 species
UGGGGAAUUUUGGACAAUGGGCGCAAGCCUGAUCCAGCAAUGCCGCGUGCAGGAUGAAGGCCUUCGGAUUGUAAACUGCUUUUGUACGGAGCGAAAAGGUCUGCCCUAAUACGGUGGGCUCAUGACGGUACCGUAAGAAUAAGCACCGGCUAACUACGUGCCAGCAGCCGCGGUAAUACGUAGGGUGCGAGCGUUAAUCGGAAUUACUGGGCGUAAAGCGUGCGCAGGCGGUUAUGUAAGACAGAUGUGAAAUCCCCGGGCUCAACCUGGGAACUGCGUUUGUGACUGCAUAACUAGAGUACGGCAGAGGGAGGUGGAAUUCCGCGUGUAGCAGUGAAAUGCGUAGAGAUGCGGAGGGACACCGAUGGCGAAGGCAAUCCCCUGGGCCUGCACUGACGCUCAUGCACGAAAGCGUGGGGAGCAAACA